rnacentral:pre_miRNA from 1 species
CAUGUACUCCCUCCGUUCGGAAUUACUUGUCGUAGAAAUGGAUGUAUCUAGAUGUAUUUUAUUUCUAGAUACAUUCAUUUCCGAGACAAGUAAUUCCGAACGGAGGGAGUAUUUU